UACGAAGGGGCUAGCGUUGUUCGGAAUUACUGGGCGUAAAGCGCGCGCAGGCGGUCUUCCAAGUCAGUGGUGAAAGCCCGGAGCUCAACUCCGGAAUUGCCAUUGAAACUGUUGGACUUGAGGAUGAGAGAGGUGAGUGGAAUUCCCAGUGUAGAGGUGAAAUUCGUAGAUAUUGGGAAGAACACCGGUGGCGAAGGCAGCACGUGGCGCUCGAUUGACGCUCAGGCACGAAAGCAUGGGGAUCAAACAGG
rnacentral:rRNA from 1 species